UGAGUAACACGUAUCCAACCUGCCGUCUACUCUUGGACAGCCUUCUGAAAGGAAGAUUAAUACAAGAUGGCAUCAUGAGUCCGCAUGUUCACAUGAUUAAAGGUAUUCCGGUAGACGAUGGGGAUGCGUUCCAUUAGAUAGUAGGCGGGGUAGCGGCCCACCUAGUCUUCGAUGGAUAGGGGUUCUGAGAGGAAGGUCCCCCACAUUGGAACUGAGACACGGUCCAA
rnacentral:rRNA from 1 species